rnacentral:sRNA from 1 species
GGCGGGGAUAGGAUGGCCCCCGAAAACCAGAUCUCCGCGCUGGCUGCCCCGCCUUUACCUUGCGGA